rnacentral:siRNA from 1 species
GGUCAAAAGUUCUCUUCAGCUUGC